ACUGAACGCUGGCGGCAGGCUUAACACAUGCAAGUCGAGCGGAGAGAGGUAGCUUGCUACUGAUCUUAGCGGCGGACGGGUGAGUAAUGCUUAGGAAUCUGCCUAUUAGUGGGGGACAACAUUUCGAAAGGAAUGCUAAUACCGCAUACGUCCUACGGGAGAAAGCAGGGGAUCUUCGGACCUUGCGCUAAUAGAUGAGCCUAAGUCAGAUUAGCUAGUUGGUGGGGUAAAGGCCUACCAAGGCGACGAUCUGUAGCGGGUCUGAGAGGAUGAGCCGCCACACUGGGACUGAGACACGGCCCAGACUCCUACGGGAGGCAGCAGUGGGGAAUAUUGGACAAUGGGCGGAAGCCUGAUCCAGCCGUGCCGCGUGUGUGAAGAAGGCCUUAUGGUUGUAAAGCACUUUAAGCGAGGAGGAGGCUACUUUAGUUAAUACCAAGAGAUAGUGGACGUUACUCGCAGAAUAAGCACCGGCUAACUCUGUGCCAGCCGCCGCGGUAAGAC
rnacentral:rRNA from 1 species